UUCUGGACAGGGCGCACGACUGUAUGAAGGGAUUAUUUCACCACCGCCUGUCGAGACGCUCUUGGCAUCCUUGGCUCGGAUUUUGGCCAACCGCGUGCGGUAACACACGGGAGACCAGCUUCCGUCCAAGAUCCUUCGAGGGAUGAUGGACGACGAUUUGUGACACCCAGGCAGACGUGCCCUCGGCCAAAAGGCUUAGGGCGCAACUUGCGUUCAAAGACUCGAUGGUUCACGGGAUUCUGCAGUUCACACCAAGUAUCGCAUUUCGCUACGUUCUUCAUCGAUGCGAGAGCCGAUAUAUCCGUUGCCGAGAGUCGUUUUAAACUUUAAAUCUCAUCAAAACAUUCGCACGCGGACCAUCUCUGGAGCGGCGAAUGCCAGCUGUUUGGUUGCAUGUUCCUUGACACUUUUCGUGGCGUGGUUUUGUGAAAUCCGGAAGAAACACGCAUGUCUUAACCAAGCAGUGAAGCUUGGCGAAGCCACACAUGAAACCACGGAAUCGGCAGGCACGAGAACCGUUAGGAAACCGGCCUACCGAGAGUGAUGAUCAGUUGUUCUCGGGUCGUUCUGUUUUGGACAGGUUUCGACAAUGAUCCUUCCGCAGGUUCACCUACGGAAACCUUGU
rnacentral:misc_RNA from 1 species